GAGUUUAAGCAUAUCAAUA
rnacentral:snRNA from 1 species